rnacentral:ncRNA from 1 species
GUGACUCUGGAGAAGCUCGCCCCACGAUACGAGUGCCGAAGGUGCAAUGCGGCAAAGCCGCGAAUCUCUCAGGCAAAAGGACAGAGGAAA